GCAACCUGCGGCUCGCCUGGCGCUACCCCAGCGUGUUCCGCUCGCUGCUGGGCAUCUCGUGGAUGUGGUUCUUCGGCGCGGUGUUCCUGGCGCAGUUCCCUUCCUUCGCACGUGACGUGCUG
rnacentral:ncRNA from 1 species